rnacentral:rRNA from 1 species
UCCAGAGUUUUGAUCAUGGCUCAGAUUUGAACGCUGGCGGCAGGCCUAACACAUGCAAGUCGAGCGGAUGAAGGGAGCUUGCUCCUGGAUUCAGCGGCGGACGGGUGAGUAAUGCCUAGGAAUCUGCCUGGUAGUGGGGGAUAACGUCCGGAAACGGGCGCUAAUACCGCAUACGUCCUGAGGGAGAAAGUGGGGGAUCUUCGGACCUCACGCUAUCAGAUGAGCCUAGGUCGGAUUAGCUAGUUGGUGGGGUAAAGGCCUACCAAGGCGACGAUCCGUAACUGGUCUGAGAGGAUGAUCAGUCACACUGGAACUGAGACACGGUCCAGACUCCUACGGGAGGCAGCAGUGGGGAAUAUUGGACAAUGGGCGAAAGCCUGAUCCAGCCAUGCCGCGUGUGUGAAGAAGGUCUUCGGAUUGUAAAGCACUUUAAGUUGGGAGGAAGGGCAGUAAGUUAAUACCUUGCUGUUUUGACGUUACCAACAGAAUAAGCACCGGCUAACUUCGUGCCAGCAGCCGCGGUAAUACGAAGGGUGCAAGCGUUAAUCGGAAUUACU